GCCCUAUCACUAUAGGGCGUGACGCACGGCUGAGUAACACGUGGCUAACCUGCCCUAGGGACUGGGAUAACUCCAGGAAACUGGAGCUAAACCCGGGUAGGUGAGGAGUCCUGGAAUGGUUCCUCGCCCAAAGAGAUCUCAAGGGGUUAAUGCUUGAGAUCUGCCCUAGGAUGGGGCUACGUCCCAUCAUGGUUGUUGGCGGGGUAAUGGCCCGCCAAGCCAACGACGGGUAGGGGCCCUGAGAGGGGGAGCCCCCAGAUGGACCCUGAGACAAGGGUCCAGGCCCUACGGGGCGCACCAGGCGCGAAACCUCUGCAAUGUGGGAAACCGUGACAGGGUUAUCCCGAGUGCUCCCGUUAAGGGAGCUUUUCCUCGCUGUAAGGAGGCGAGGGAAUAAGCGGGGGGCAAGACUGGUGUCAGCCGCCGCGGUAAUACCAGCCCCGCGAGUGGUCGGGACGAUUACUGGGCCUAAAGCGCCCGUAGCCGGUCUGAUAAGUCCUCUCUGAAAGCUCCGGGCUCAACCCGGAGAGCGGAGAGGAUACUUUCAGGCUAGGGGGCGGGAAAGGCCGGGGGUACUCCUAGGGUAGGGGCGAAAUCCGAUAAUCCUAGGAGGACCACCAGUGGCGAAGGCGCCCGGCUGGAACGCGCCCGACGGUGAGGGGCGAAAGCUGGGGGAGCGA
rnacentral:rRNA from 1 species